rnacentral:rRNA from 1 species
GACGAACGCUGGCGGCGUGCCUAAUACAUGCAAGUAGAACGCACAGUUUAUACCGUAGCUUGCUACACCAUAGACUGUGAGUUGCGAACGGGUGAGUAACGCGUAGGUAACCUGCCUGGUAGCGGGGGAUAACUAUUGGAAACGCUAGCUAAUACCGCAUAAUAUUAAUUAUUGCAUGAUAAUUAAUUGAAAGUUGCAAUUGCACCACUACCAGAUGGACCUUCGUUGUAUUAGCUAGUAGGUGAGGUAACGGCUCCCCUAGGCGACGAUACAUAGCCGACCUGAGAGGGUGGUCGGCCACACUGGGACUGAGACGCGGCCCAGAGUCAUAGGGGAGGCAGCAGUAGGGAAUCUUCGGCAAUGGACGAAAGUCUGACCGAGCAACGCCGAGUGAGUGAAGAAGGUUUUCGGAUCGUAAAGCUCUGUUGUAAGAGAAGAACGGGUGUGAGAGUGGAAAGUUCACACUGUGACGGUAUCUUACCAGAAAGGGACGGCUAACUACGUG